AUUGAACGCUGGCGGCAGGCUUAACACAUGCAAGUCGAGCGGUAGCACAAGAAGGCUUGCUCCCUGGGUGUCGCGAGUCGCACGGGGGUGUAAUAUAUGUCAGACUCCCUUUUGGCGUGGGGUAACUCGUGGGGACGGUUACUAUUACCGCACAUAGUCGCAAGGCCAAAAAGGGGGACCUUCUGGGACCUUGCGCGAAGAUGUGAGCAGAUGUCGGAAUAGCUAGUUGGGGGGGUAAAGGCACACCGAGGCGACGAUCCCUAGCUGGUCUGAGAGGAUGAUCAGCCACACUGGAACUGAGACACGGUCCAGACUCCUACGGGAGGCAGCAGUGGGGAAUAUUGCACAAUGGGCGCAAGCCUGAUGCAGCCAUGCCGCGUGGGUGAAGAAGGCCUUCGGGUUGUAAAGCACUUUUGGUGAGGAGGAAGGGGAUCAACUUAAUACGUUGAUGAACUGACGUUACCCGAAGAAGAAGCACCGGCUAACUUCGUG
rnacentral:rRNA from 1 species